AUGCCUGCCACUGUGUAGACAGAGACUCCCAACUCCUCGAAGAAUGAAAAACAAGGCCAACAGCUUAGAUGGGGAGCAAUGCUGUGUUUGUCUGGUGUCUGAGAUAAGGACACUAAUCCAAAGUCCAAGCCCAAGGGAAUGAGCGCCAACUCACUUUGUAGAGGAGGCUGGGUCUGUGUCUGUGCUCACCGAGGCUGCUGCAGCCGAGGCUGUUCUGUGAGUGAGCUCAGCUUGAGGACGGCAGCCACGGAUCCUUAUCUUCAGCCAGGGUCACGCCCUCAAGAAUAUCAGCAGCAAGGACAGCCGAUGUGGAGCAAGAACCUUGACCUCACAGCUGAGGGUGAAGGACUGUGGGCACACAUGGCUCUAAAUGACAGCCAGGCAUUAAAAGCCGACUUGAGCCUCACUGGGAUGAUCUGCAAAAGUCACUCCCCAGGAGACUGUGAGCACAGCUGCCCACUGAUAACGGCACUUGCAGAUGCUGCACAGCGCGUCAUUCGAACGGACACCGAGUCUGAAAGCUGCCCCUGGGUAAGAGCAAUGCAAAAACAGAAUCAAAGAGUGAUAUUUCAUAGACUCACACUGAGAACCCUACAGGAGAGCUAGGAGACAGUGCCCAUGAAAGCGAAGCAAGAAUAAGGUUUUGGCCAGCGUGGAUGCAAAGCAAUUCAGUGUGUAAAGACUGAGAACAGGGGCUGGCACUGGGGCUCAGUGCAUUAAGCCACCAUUGAGAUGCCAGCAUCCUAUAUGAGCACCAGUUGGAGUCCCAGUUGCUCCACUUUUGAUCCAGCUUCCUGCUAAUGCACUUGGGAAAGCAGCAGAUGAUGGCUCAAGUACCUGGGCCCCUGCCACUCAUGUAGAGUCAAGGAUAGAGUUCCAGGUUCCUGGCUUCAUCUUCAAUGAACCUUGGUUGUUGCAGGUAUUUGGGAAACAAACCAGGGGAUGGAAGAUCUCUCUUCCUCUCUCUGAAUCUCCCUAUCUCUCUGUGACUCUGUCUUUCAAAUAAAUAAUUUUUUAGAAUGUUUUAUUUAUUUAUU
rnacentral:lncRNA from 1 species